rnacentral:lncRNA from 1 species
GUUUUAAAAUACUUUAUCCAGCAUUUUUCAAUGUUUCCGUGAGAUGUGGUGGUCUGAAUAAUUGGGAACGGAACUCCAUGAUUUAUCUUCCUUUGACAUGAACUUGAAUUUGUAGAAUAGCAGAGAAACUACAAGAGAAGUGCAGCAAUGAAAUUGCAGAAAGAAACAGCAGGAACCUGUCUGAGUGGUAAACUUUUCUCUUACCAGGAGGAAGCCACAGGGCUAGUUUGAGGCCUGAUGGAGCAGUUCUGGCUGUUGAUUCUGAUAGCCCAAGGUAAGAGUUCCCUUCCCCAAGAUACCAUCUGAUCUACUACAACAUGACAUGGGAAGUUCUCACAUUCCAGCAGAUUUGUUUGGAGUCCCAGAGUCCUUAUUGAUGAGAUUUUGAUUAUAGGGUCAACCAGUAAACCAGUUCCAGAUUUACCCUUUAAAAUAAAACUAAAAUAGGUGAAACACAUUUUUUUUGGAUUCCAGAUCCCUGGGGGAGGGGGGGGGUCCUAGAUCCAGAUAAGAGAAAGGCACUUCUCCACUUAGUAGUCAGGAUUGUCAUGGUUACCGAAUGUUUCACAUGACUCACAAGUACACCCUGCUCUCCUAUAAAGCAUUAUUUGCAUUUCAAAGAAACACGCAUUUUUCAAAAUCCCCUUCUAAAAACAUUUGUUUCAAUGGGGAAAAUAGAAUUAAUGUCUAGAAAAGUUGAGACUUGCAAUAGCAAAGUUAUAUUUGCUGCAAGAAUUUUAAUAAUAAAGUUUUUACUAGAGCUAUAAGUAUACAGCUAUAAAACAUAGACCUCAAUGAGCAAAUUCAGGGUUUGAUUACAUGGAACAUUUGCUCGGGAGUAAUGGCUUUUCUUCUCCUUACCAACAAAAGCUCUAUCGUUAACAUAAAGCUUCUUACACAUUCUUAUCAAUUUUUAUCACUUUUAUCACUGUUAGGAUAAACAAAGCUUAAAGGCAUCCCAACCAAGUUGGUGUGUUAAGCUUAAAAAAAAAUACAGGUGACAGUCGCUCCCAAUUUUGAUGGCAUCAAUACCAACUACUCUUUACCUAAUGCAAAUUAGGUUUCCCAGUUGAUCAGUCACCUUAUAUCCAAUUUGAAUUAUGAAAAUGUGGUUGUGAGAGAAAUGCUUGCACUGAAUAAAAAUAGGCCAUUAGCUGGGACUUGGGAAUCCUUGUUAUUCAGACAUUUUUUAUAGACUCUUACAUAAUAUUCUAUAAUGUGCUGUAAUAUUUAAUUAUCUCACAACAUUAAAAGGUAAAAGUUUUAAUUAUAAAUGAAACUGGUUGGGGAGAGGAGUGAGAAGUAAAUUGAAUUAUAGCGCAAUUUCUCAGUAUUUAAU